rnacentral:rRNA from 1 species
AGAGUUUGAUCCUGGCUCAGGACGAACGCUGGCGGCGUGCCUAAUACAUGCAAGUCGAGCGGACAGAAGGGAGCUUGCUCCCGGAUGUUAGCGGCGGACGGGUGAGUAACACGUGGGUAACCUGCCUGUAAGACUGGGAUAACUCCGGGAAACCGGAGCUAAUACCGGAUAGUUCCUUGAACCGCAUGGUUCAAGGAUGAAAGACGGUUUCGGCUGUCACUUACAGAUGGACCCGCGGCGCAUUAGCUAGUUGGUGGGGUAAUGGCUCACCAAGGCGACGAUGCGUAGCCGACCUGAGAGGGUGAUCGGCCACACUGGGACUGAGACACGGCCCAGACUCCUACGGGAGGCAGCAGUAGGGAAUCUUCCGCAAUGGACGAAAGUCUGACGGAGCAACGCCGCGUGAGUGAUGAAGGUUUUCGGAUCGUAAAGCUCUGUUGUUAGGGAAGAACAAGUGCGAGAGUAACUGCUCGCACCUUGACGGUACCUAACCAGAAAGCCACGGCUAACUACGUGCCAGCAGCCGCGGUAAUACGUAGGUGGCAAGCGUUGUCCGGAAUUAUUGGGCGUAAAGGGCUCGCAGGCGGUUUCUUAAGUCUGAUGUGAAAGCCCCCGGCUCAACCGGGGAGGGUCAUUGGAAACUGGGAAACUUGAGUGCAGAAGAGGAGAGUGGAAUUCCACGUGUAGCGGUGAAAUGCGUAGAGAUGUGGAGGAACACCAGUGGCGAAGGCGACUCUCUGGUCUGUAACUGACGCUGAGGAGCGAAAGCGUGGGGAGCGAACAGGAUUAGAUACCCUGGUAGUCCACGCCGUAAACGAUGAGUGCUAAGUGUUAGGGGGUUUCCGCCCCUUAGUGCUGCAGCUAACGCAUUAAGCACUCCGCCUGGGGAGUACGGUCGCAAGACUGAAACUCAAAGGGAAUUGACGGGGGCCCGCACAAGCGGUGGAGCAUGUGGUUUAAUUCGAAGCAACGCGAAGAACCUUACCAGGUCUUGACAUCCUCUGACAACCCUAGAGAUAGGGCUUUCCCUUCGGGGACAGAGUGACAGGUGGUGCAUGGUUGUCGUCAGCUCGUGUCGUGAGAUGUUGGGUUAAGUCCCGCAACGAGCGCAACCCUUGAUCUUAGUUGCCAGCAUUCAGUUGGGCACUCUAAGGUGACUGCCGGUGACAAACCGGAGGAAGGUGGGGAUGACGUCAAAUCAUCAUGCCCCUUAUGACCUGGGCUACACACGUGCUACAAUGGACAGAACAAAGGGCUGCAAGACCGCAAGGUUUAGCCAAUCCCAUAAAUCUGUUCUCAGUUCGGAUCGCAGUCUGCAACUCGACUGCGUGAAGCUGGAAUCGCUAGUAAUCGCGGAUCAGCAUGCCGCGGUGAAUACGUUCCCGGGCCUUGUACACACCGCCCGUCACACCACGAGAGUUUGCAACACCCGAAGUCGGUGAGGUAACCUUUAUGGAGCCAGCCGCCGAAGGUGGGGCAGAUGAUUGGGGUGAAGUCGUAACAAGGUAACC